GGCCGACGCCCAGGAGCGUAUUGAGCUCCACCUGGAGCACAUGAACGCGACGGCCAAGGACAGCGGCGGAUCUCGCAUCUGGAGGCGCAUCUCCAUGAUGGGCGGCGCCGCCACGCCCAUCAAACGGAGCGUCUCCGAGCAGGACAUCACGACCCUCCGGCUGCGCAAGUUUGGCCUGGAGACG